rnacentral:tRNA from 1 species
AAGCAAGAAACUUAUGUACUAUGGUUUCGGCCCAUAGCCAGAUGUUACGGCAUCCUUGCUUU